AGAGUUUGAUCAUGGCUCAGAUUGAACGCUGGCGGAAUGCUUUACACAUGCAAUGUCGAACGGCAGCACGGACUUCGGUCUGGUGGCGAGUGGCGAACGGGUGAGUAAUAUAUCGGAACGUGCCCAGUCGUGGGGGAUAACGUAGUGAAAAUUACGCUAAUACCGCAUACGAUCUAUGGAUGAAAGCGGGGGACUCGCAAGAGCCUCGCGCGAUUGGAGCGGCCGAUAUCAGAUUAGGUAGUUGGUGAGGUAAAGGCUCACCAAGCCCGCGAUCUGUAGCUGGUCUGAGAGGACGACCAGCCACACUGGAACUGAGACACGGUCCAGACUCCUACGGGAGGCAGCAGUGGGGAAUUUUGGACAAUGGACGAAAGUCUGAUCCAGCCAUUCCGCGUGCAGGAUGAAGGCCCUCGGGUUGUAAACUGCUUUUGUACGGAACGAAAAGGUCUCUCCUAAUACGAGAGGCUCAUGACGGUACCGUAAGAAUAAGCACCGGCUAACUACGUGCCAGCAGCCGCGGUAAUACGUAGGGUGCAAGCGUUAAUCGGAAUUACUGGGCGUAAAGCGUGCGCAGGCGGUUAUAUAAGACAGAUGUGAAAUCCCCGGGCUCAACCUGGGAACUGCAUUUGUGACUGUAUAGCUAGAGUACGGUAGAGGGGGAUGGAAUUCCGCGUGUAGCAGUGAAAUGCGUAGAUAUGCGGAGGAACACCGAUGGCGAAGGCAAUCCCCUGGACCUGUACUGACGCUCAUGCACGAAAGCGUGGGGAGCAAACGGGAUUAGAUACCCUGGUAGUCCACGCCCUAAACGAUGUCAACUGGUUGUUGGGUCUUAACUGACUCAGUAACGAAGCUAACCGCGUGAAAUUUGACCGCUCUGGGAGUACGGCCGCAAGGUUGAAACUCAAAAGGAAUUGACGG
rnacentral:rRNA from 1 species